rnacentral:rRNA from 1 species
AGAGGUCCCGAGCGUUGUUCGGAUUUAUUGGGCGUAAAGGGUGCGUAGGUGGCAAAGUAAGUUGGAUGUGAAAUCCUGGGGCUUAACCUCAGAAUUGCAUUCAAUACUGCUUAGCUAGAGAGCUGUAGAGGAGACUGGAAUUUACGGUGUAGCAGUGAAAUGCGUAGAUAUCGUAAGGAACGCCAGUGGCGAAAGCGAGUCUCUGGGCAGCAUCUGACACUGAGGCACGAAGGCCAGGGGAGCAAACGGGAUUAGAUACCCCGGUAGUCCUGGCAGUAAACGGUGCGCGUUUGGUGUGGGCGGGUUCGACCCUGUCCGCGCCGAAGCUAACGCGUUAAACGCGCCGCCUGGGAAGUACGAUCGCAAGAUUA